AGGGGUGUAGCUCAGCUGGUAGAGCAGCGGUCUCCAAAACCGCAGGUCGCGGGUUCGAAUCCUGUCGCCCCUGCCA
rnacentral:tRNA from 2 species